rnacentral:ncRNA from 1 species
GGAGGUGAAGUGCGGGUUGUAGUUGAGAAACACAUAGCCCCGCGCCUGAUCGAUGGCAUGGAACAGCGGGUUCCAGUCGAAGAUGGACAGCAUGUAUCCCGGCAGGGUAUUGGCCACGAACAUCUUUCCCGAGGCAACCAUGUUCGCGCGG